UACAGAGGGGGCUAGCGUUGUUCGGAAUUACUGGGCGUAAAGGGCGCGUAGGUGGCCUGUUAAGUCGAACGUGAAAUCCCCGGGCUCAACCCGGGAACUGCGUCCGAGACUGGCAGGCUUGAAUCCGGGAGAGGGAUGUGGAAUUCCAGGUGUAGCGGUGAAAUGCGUAGAUAUCUGGAGGAACACCGGUGGCGAAGGCGGCAUCCUGGACCGGUAUUGACGCUGAGGCGCGAAAGCCAGGGGAGCAAACGGG
rnacentral:rRNA from 1 species